UCUACAGCAUUUUUUACUGUAAUUAUCUAGGUUUGCUACUAUGUCUGAGACUGCUCCUGCCGCGCCGGCUACUCCAGCUCCAGCAGAGAAGACACCUGUGAAGAAGAAGGCGAAGAAGCCAACGGGUUCCGCAGGAGCGCGGCGAAAGGCUUCUGGGCCCCCGGUGUCUGAGCUGAUCACCAAGGCUGUGGCCGCCUCCAAUGAGCGCAGUGGCGUGUCUCUGGCCGCCCUCAAGAAGGCGCUGGCGGCCGCCGGCUACGAUGUGGAGAAGAACAACAGCCGCAUCAAGCUGGGGCUCAAAAGCCUGGUGAACAAAGGCACUCUUGUGCAGACCAAGGGGACCGGCGCUUCGGGUUCCUUCAAGCUCAACAAAAAGACCCCUGCGGGCGAAGGCAAAGGGAAGGCCAAGAAAUCGGCCUCCGCCAAAGCCAAGAAGUCAUCGGGGGCUGCCAAGAAGCCCAAAAAGACCACGGGGGCGGCCACGAAGAAAACCUUGAAGAAGACCCCGAAGAAAGCGAAAAAGCCGGCGGCGGCGACGGGAGCCAAGAAGGCGGCCAAGAGCCCCAAGAAAGCCAAAGCUGCUAAGCCCAAGAAGGCGGCUAAGAGCCCUGCGAAGGCGAAAGCCGUGAAGCCCAAGGCAGCGAAGGCAAAGGUGACCAAACCUAAAACAGCCAAGCCCAAGAAGGCGGCGCCAAAGAAGAAGUAGGUCUCCGCGGGAACUUCCAACACCUCAAAGGCUCUUUUCAGAGCCACCCAAGGAUCUCAAUGAAAAGAGCUCGAUACUACCGGAUAUCCUGCGGCGCCAUAGUGCCUGACCAGUUGUAAAGCCCACGGGCCCCCGGGAGAGUUGCCAGACUGACAGACCCGAUGGUCAGCUGAUCCAGUGUCUUUAAGUGGCCUAUAAACAGGAACCAAAUAAACUUGCAAAAUUUGAAAUUUUUUUUGUCUCUUUAAAUGACAGGCCUUACUUGCAGGAACAAGUAGGUUAGUGCUUAUUGAUCAGAGCACGGGUUCUCAAAACUUGUCCAGAGAGACCCCGGGAGUCCCCGAUCCCCGACUCAAGGGCAUUCGUGAGGUCAAAACGAUUCACCGCAAAUACUACUUUUAUUUCUAAUUAGGCGUCGGUAGAGAUGAAAUUUUUUUUAAAAAGGGUAUCUGGCGCUCUCAAUUUCCAGCCGUUGUAAAGGGCCGAAAAGUUUGAGAACCGCUGGGCUAGAGAAACAUUCAAAAGUCCCGCGCCUCGAAUAAAUUGGUUUGUUAUUCAACCUCACGUAGCCUUGAAUUCUGGACAAUUUGAUUGGAAAAAAAUGAAUCCCUACACACUCCCACUUGCUCUUAAUGGUUAUAAAUGUAGUUUCCUUUUCUCCUUGUUCUUCAGCAUUCAUAUUCUGUGUACGUACUGCUUACAUCUGCAAUGCUUUAGUUUGAGGAAAAGGGCUUCCAGCACAAUGACUCCAAGGACAGUUUUACUUUUUAAAAAAGUUCAAGCCGCAAAAUGCUUUGUUCUUGAGGCUUCUGCAAAUGUUUUCAUUGAUAAAGAAUUCCUUUUUCAAGCAACACUUAAAAUUUUGUUAGGGUAAAUCGGAGAGUAACAAUUUAAAAGUCAAAUAUAUAUCCCUGGAAAUUUAUGUAUACCCUUACGAACGCAAAUAGUCUGAGACAUUUUCUCUCGCGGAGCCACCAUACUCCCCCAGCCUCAUCGCCGACUCCCGCCCAAAGUUGGCCUUUCUGGAGGAUUCUUUUGGAUAGUGGGGAAUCCAGCGUCUAGAUAUUUGUGGUGGCUGAAAUUAUUUUUAGUUUAAGAUUUGCUUAAUGGAGAAGAGGGGGCCGAAGGAAAGCUUUUUUCCCUAAAAACGGGUUAUUUCGAAAGCUUCUGUUUCCAGGAACUUCAGCUUUUCCCCUGCCCCGAACUAAUUUUGUCCCUUACGAGCUUCCCUAAUCCUGGGCAUUGUAUCCGUUCGAUCUUUUGGUGCAGCAAUUAUGUCUGCUUUGGAGCAAGACGUAAAUCCACGUCCUUUGCAAAGCUCCUGAUUUAAAUUAUCUUUGUGGCUCUAUUUAGCCGGUUCUAUAUGUGCAGUUUAUCUCGUGUAGUCCUAUCUUUACCCCUCUCCCCAUUUCCAUUUUACAGAUGAGAAAAUUGAGUUCAAAGGGCUGGGGGAAAUUACUUGGGCAGGGCCAGCUAUCACUUGUGGCUGAAGCAAAAACCCUUGCCUCAUGCUUAAUUCUGCACUUUAUCCACUGCGCAACGCUUAUGUUGCCUCUGACGACUGGUGGUAGUGAAGAAGGUUUACGUGUCUCUCUUUCGCUUUUGUUGCUGGCCAGUUCCAAGACUUUAGGUUCGCCUUUGGGAAGCAGGCUGAGCACAAGGCUAAACCCAACUGCCCUGGGAGGUACAUUGGCCUCCAGACCAGCGAGUUUCGUCCAAAGUAGGCAGCAAAAAGGGUAUUACUUGUGUUAAAUAACUAACUUAUCAAACUGUUCAGCUAUUGGUCAAAAACAGAAUUCUGAUCGUUUUAGCCAAUCAAAAGGUUGGGUCUAAGAAAAAGUCUCAUAUUUAAAUAUGAUCGUCCCACUUCAGUCAAGUUGCUCCAAUCAGGAGCUGGGAUAGAGUUUAUUUGCAUAGAAGCCCUAUAAAAAUAAUCGGGACCUGAAAUUUACGUCUUUUGUUUUGCUUCUUGGAAAAUUAUUUAUUGCACUAUUCCACCUUACUCUCAACUCGUCUGAACUUAGGUUUAGAACGAUGGUAAAAAGCGCAAGCGCGAUCCUAAGAGUUGUUGAAGAAGGUACACGUGGUACCUUGAGCAAAGCCUGGAACAUUACAAUUGAUUUUAACAAAAUUUUCUAUGGUAUCUUAGGGAGUAACAACACUUCCCGAGGAUCCAGAUGCCCCUUUCUUGACAGUUGAUCAAAAGCUCAUCAUGUUGGAGGCCACCAAGGAUGCCAAUUCUCCCAAAGUGACCCCAGGAGCUCUUUCAAAAUGCACUCUCAUUCUCAGUGGCUUUAAUUCCGUAGUAUCAAAAUACUUCCUUGUCAGUAAAUUUGUAUUGAACGUAGUGUGGUCACUGAUUCUAACAAAAGCAAUUUGUAAUUUAUAAUAAUUCAUAAUCUCCCAUCUGUGAUCCUUCUGUGUAAUAAAGCAAAUAUAGUCACUGCAUAAGAAAAAAAAUUCUAUAGUAUCCACAAGCAAGGGGUUAUAUUUAAAGCCUAAUUUUCCCUUUUCUUUUUUCCUCUCCUAAAACAUACAUAAAACAUGCCAAGGAAUGCUUGUGUCAAUGGAAGUAUCCUGCAGCAGCAAGAACAGUGAACUUACAGCCAGGGGACUGAGAUUCAAAACAUGUCUCUGCCAUUGACUCCCUGUGUUACCAUCUGCAAACCACCCUGUCCGGGCCCCAGUUUCCUCCUUUAAGUGAGUUGGCCUAGAUGAUCUCUAAAGUCCCUUUCCUCCAUAAGUCUAGAAUCCUAAAUUCAACUUUUGAAAAUUAUCUCUGGUUGCAAAAUGUUUAAUUACUUUGAUUAGUGCUUCCCUGGCCCAUCUUUGUUUCUUUGUUUGCAUGACCUGAUGUCUGAAGGAAGAAGAAAGACAUGGGAAAAAUUAAUAAAGGCAUUUCAAGAUCUGA